GAUGAAGAACGUAGCGAAAUGCGAUACUUGGUGUGAAUUACAGAAUCCCGUGAACCAUCGAGUCUUUGAACGCAAGUUGCGCCCGAAGCCAUUAGGCCGAGGGCACGCCUGCCUGGGCGUCACAAGUCGUUGCCCCCCCAUCUACUCCUUCGGGAUUGCGGGGGGCGGAUGAUGGCCUCCCGUGCGCCUCGUCGCGCGGUUGGCAUAAAUGCCAAGUCCUCGGCGACGCACGCCACGACAAUCGGUGGUUGCGAAACCUCGGUUGCCCGUCGUGUGCGGUCGUCGCGCAUCGAGGGCUCGAAAAAAUUGCCGGGCUCCGGCUCGGCUUUCAACGCGACCCCAGGUCAGGCGGGGUUACCCGCUGAAUUUAAGCAUAUCAAUAAGCGGAGGA
rnacentral:misc_RNA from 1 species